CUAAUCUAUUGAUAUAAACCGCUUUUUUCUUCUCAGUGAAAGGCGCAAAUGCGCAGUAGUACAAUUUAUUUAACUUAUAUUAUUACUAUGGUUAUAAUAUCAUAAUAUUUUAUUGGUUACUAGUCUUAAAUCGCGGUAGAGUCGUAGAGCGCUGAUAGCUAGUGUAUACGAUCGUUCAUUAGUGCCUACUGCAGUAGGCGCCAGGCACUAAUCACUAUCAAAAAUAACGAGUAUCACAAAAUAUUAUUUUUUUGUUGCCAUUAAAUUUUAUUGGGCCGAGUGCUGGUCGCACGUAGGCCAUAUUUUACACAUUAUCAUUGAAAUCAGUACAGAGCGCUAGAACAUUCCGUGCAAACACUCGUACCUUCUUCUGGCCGUAACUCGAGACACAAUGGCUACCACUACCGAUGAGUCCGAUUCCUCCCGAAAAAACACGAACAAUGAAGAAAAUGAAAACAAAGAUGAACAGAAUAACAUCUUUGAGUGUAACAUAUGCUUGGAUAAUGCAAAAGACGCGGUUGUUAGUGUUUGUGGCCAUUUAUUUUGCUGGCCAUGCUUACAUCAAUGGUUAGAAACUCGAUCAAGUCGUCAAGUAUGCCCUGUAUGUAAAGCUGUUAUAAGUAAAGAUAAAGUAAUACCAAUUUAUGGACGUGGAAAUUCCAAACAAGAAGAUCCCAGAAAUAAAGUGCCACCUAGGCCUUCUGGUCAAAGAACUGAACCUGAACCUAGUACUGGUUUCCCCGGUUUUACUUUUGGAGAUGGUGGUUUUCAUUUAUCAUUUGGAAUAGGAGCAUUUCCUUUUGGUUUUUUAACAUCAUUUAAUAUUACUGAUCGUCCACAUGGAAUUCCAGUUGGCAGUCAACUACAACAAGAUGAUCAAUAUUUAUCAAAACUUUUCUUAUGGAUUGCAGUAAUAUUUAUUGUUUGGCUAUUAUUGGCUUAAUUAAUUCUAAGAUCUUGAAAUUUUAGGAGACAUUUCACACAGUUCAUUUUUCUGAUGGAUACAUAAUAACUGUUUAAGUAUGUAGAGAAUCGCAAAAUUGAUCCACCUAAACCAUUUCCAAAUUUUAUAUAUUAUUUUAACAAUUGACAACCUUGACAUAUUUUACUUUACAAGAUCAGACAUCAAAAGAAUUGUUUUUAAUAAACAAAUUACAACAAAAUUGAUGGAGCAUUACAGUUUUUACAUACCAAUGGUUUAAACCUAUGCAUAUACUGUUUUUAGAAUAUUUAAGAAACUGCAUGUCUCUGAAUUCUUCUCUGCAUUUUAGGCAGUCGUGAGCAGCAAUUGGUAUAGCAUUUGGGUAAACAACAAAUGUAAAUGGAGAGAAAACAAUGCUCUAAAAUCGGGUAACUACAGAAUACUGUUUGGCAAGUUUUUAGUUUAUAAUUAUUUAUGAAUACAAAAUAUUGCUAUAUAGUUAUUUAGUAAUUAAAUGUUGUUGUUUAUGAUUUUUAAUUAGACUAUUUCAACUAUCAUGAAAGGAUAAAUGUAAUUAAUAAAACUAGUUUAUUUAAAAA